GACGAACGCUGGCGGCGUGCCUAACACAUGCAAGUCGAACGGUGAAGGGGUCUGCUUUUGUGGGCCCUGGAUGAGUGGCGAACGGGUGAGUAACACGUGAGUAACCUGCCCCCUUCUUCUGGAUAACCGCAUGAAAGUGUGGCUAAUACGGGAUAUUCUGGGUCUGUCGCAUGAUGGGUCUGGGAAAGAUUGCGCCUUUGGGUGUUUUUGGUGGGGGAUGGGCUCGCGGCCUAUCAGCUUGUUGGUGGGGUGAUGGCCUACCAAGGCGGUGACGGGUAGCCGGCCUGAGAGGGUGGACGGUCACACUGGGACUGAGACACGGCCCAGACUCCUACGGGAGGCAGCAGUGGGGAAUAUUGCACAAUGGGCGCAAGCCUGAUGCAGCGACGCCGCGUGAGGGAUGGAGGCCUUCGGGUUGUAAACCUCUUUCGCCAGUGAAGCAGGCCUGCUCCUUGUGGGUGGGUUGGCGGUAGCUGGAUAAGAAGCGCCGGCUAACUACGUG
rnacentral:rRNA from 1 species